CCUCACCCACUUAUAGCCUCCCCCACCAUCAACCUCCURCAUCAGAGUGGUAUAUUUGUCAUCAUCAACCCACACUGGCAUAUCCUAUCACCCCAAGUCCAUGCUUCACAUUACUGUUCACACUUGGUUAUAUACAUUUCUUGAGAGUUGUGAUUUUUUACACCAGCAAAUGUCCCCGGGGAAAGCACAUCCACAUGAUUUGAGGCAAAACUAGCAAUGCUAAUCUAUUUUCAAAUGAAUGUGUUCUUUGGAGAAGUGUGUUUGAGAUUGGGUACACAUAUAAAAGAAAGAAGUUGAGUCAUGGAGGGAGGARAGAAAGAGAGAGAAAAGAAAGGACCAUCCACUCACCCAGGCAACUCCCACCCCCAGUCUCUGAAGUCUUUGAAGAUGAAGCCUUCUGGGAAGUUGGCAGUCCUGAGGGCCCAGGGCAAUGCUGAAAUGCCCUUCCAAACAAGGACCCAAACAGCUGAAGGGCUCCAGUUACCCAAGAGAAUAUCACACAUCAACUUAGAACAUAUUAAACAAGAUGGCAAGAUUAAUGAGCUUAUUCAAAAAAGAAAAUAAGUCUUGGUGGUGUCAGGGUUCUCCAUGAGGAUGACCUAGGCAAACAUCUAUCACCUGCUCUCCUAAUCUCCUCAGGACUCCUGAAGGAAGGCCACAUCUCAUCGCUAUAACAUGGAGUAAUCUCUUAAAUGCCCAAGAGUAGAAGCUUCUUGUUCCCCGCUGUCAUGGAAAGCAUGCAACAUCUUAGAUAAAAAUAAUCGGAGCCAUCUUCAGUCCUUGGCUCCAGAAUGAGAGUCUCCGGAAUGAGAGCCUCAGGAAUGUCUCGGCAUAGCUGAAGGCAACCAGAUCACCAAGGCACCUCUGUGCUUCAGCUCUUUUUAGCAGUGGGAUUAUUGGGAGUUGUGUAAAUAGACCUCUGUGCUCUGGGUGGUUGCUCAUCCCCCAUUCUGAGGCACACUUGCUUUAUUAAAACUCUCAGCUGUUGCGAUGACCCAGGCGUGGAGAAAUGAAAAGCUCCCCUCACCAACUGGUGGCAGGCUGCAAACUACAGCCCAUUUUCCCUCAUAAGGACAUGUUACUCCUAUUAGAAACUGUGUCCCUCGUGUCCUUAAGAGGGGGGACACCUGCCAAUUAUAAGUGAAGAUCUCAUCUGUUCCAAAUAAGGAAGGAGGCUACCAUCCUAGUUGGCAGUCCUUUUAUACUUAACAGAUCUUUUUUGAAUCCUAUUCUUAUGUAUUUCUUGUAUAAUUGAAGUAUUAUAAAAGGUAAUAAAAAUGGAAAUCCGCUGCUGGGAUUUGAGACU
rnacentral:lncRNA from 1 species